rnacentral:rRNA from 1 species
GGUUAAGUGACUAAGCGUACACGGUGGAUGCCUUGGCAGUCAGAGGCGAUGAAAGACGUAGUAACUUGCGAUAAGCCCAGAUUAGGUAGUAACAACCAUUUGAGUCUGGGAUUUCUGAAUGGGGAAACCCACGUGCAUAAGCACGUAUCCUUACCUGAAUACAUAGGGUAAGGAGGCGAACCGGGGGAACUGAAACAUCUAAGUACCCCGAGGAAAAGAAAUCAACCGAGAUUCCGAAAGUAGCGGCGAGCGAAAUUGGACUAGCCCUUAAGCUUUACACGCGUUAGACGAACGGUCUGGAAAGUCCGACGAUACAGGGUGAUAGUCCCGUAGUUGACGACGUGUGUUCAGUGAAAUCGAGUAGGGCGGGACACGUGAUAUCCUGUCUGAAUAUGGGGGGACCAUCCUCCAAGGCUAAAUACUACUGACUGACCGAUAGUGAACCAGUACCGUGAGGGAAAGGCGAAAAGAACCCCUGUGAGGGGAGUGAAAUAGAACCUGAAACCGUGUACGUACAAGCAGUAGGAGCAGGCUUUGUCCUGUGACUGCGUACCUUUUGUAUAAUGGGUCAGCGACUUAUAUUCAGUGGCAAGGUUAACCAUCUAGGGGAGCCGUAGGGAAACCGAGUCUUAACUGGGCGUUCAGUCUCUGGAUAUAGACCCGAAACCAGGUGAUCUAGCCAUGGGCAGGUUGAAGGUUGAGUAACAUCAACUGGAGGACCGAACCGACUAAUGUUGAAAAAUUAGCGGAUGACUUGUGGCUAGGGGUGAAAGGCCAAUCAAACCUGGAGAUAGCUGGUUCUCCCCGAAAGCUAUUUAGGUAGCGCCUCGGACGAAUACUACUGGGGGUAGAGCACUGUUAAGGCUAGGGGGUCAUCCCGACUUACCAACCCUUUGCAAACUCCGAAUACCAGUAAGUACUAUCCGGGAGACACACGGCGGGUGCUAACGUCCGUCGUGGAGAGGGAAACAACCCAGACCGCCAGCUAAGGUCCCAAAUUACUACUAAGUGGGAAACGAUGUGGGAAGGCUCAGACAGCCAGGAUGUUGGCUUAGAAGCAGCCAUCAUUUAAAGAAAGCGUAAUAGCUCACUGGUCGAGUCGGCCUGCGCGGAAGAUGUAACGGGGCUAAGUAGUAAACCGAAGCUGCGGCAAUGUGCUUUUGCACAUUGGGUAGGGGAGCGUUCUGUAAGCGGUUGAAGGUGUGUGGUAACGCAUGCUGGACGUAUCAGAAGUGCGAAUGCUGACAUGAGUAACGAUAAAGGGGGUGAAAAACCUCCUCGCCGGAAGACCAAGGGUUCCUGUCCAACGUUAAUCGGGGCAGGGUAAGUCGACCCCUAAGGCGAGGCCGAAAGGCGUAGUCGAUGGGAAACGGGUUAAUAUUCCCGUACUUCUUACAAUUGCGGGGGGGGACGGAGAAGGCUAGGUGGGCCUGGCGACGGUUGUCCAGGUUCAAGUGCGUAGGCUUGAGAGUUAGGUAAAUCCGGCUCUUUUUAAGGCUGAGACACGACGUCGAGCACCUACGGGUGUGAAGUCAUUGAUGCCAUGCUUCCAGGAAAAGCCUCUAAGCUUCAGAUUGUAAGGAAUCGUACCCCAAACCGACACAGGUGGUCGGGUAGAGAAUACCAAGGCGCUUGAGAGAACUCGGGUGAAGGAACUAGGCAAAAUGGUACCGUAACUUCGGGAGAAGGUACGCUCUUGAUGGUGAAGUCCCUUGCGGAUGGAGCUGACGAGAGUCGCAGAUACCAGGUGGCUGCAACUGUUUAUUAAAAACACAGCACUGUGCAAAAUCGUAAGAUGACGUAUACGGUGUGACGCCUGCCCGGUGCCGGAAGGUUAAUUGAUGGGGUUAGACUUCGGUCGAAGCUCUUGAUCGAAGCCCCGGUAAACGGCGGCCGUAACUAUAACGGUCCUAAGGUAGCGAAAUUCCUUGUCGGGUAAGUUCCGACCUGCACGAAUGGCGUAAUGAUGGCCACGCUGUCUCCACCCGAGACUCAGUGAAAUUGAAAUCGCUGUGAAGAUGCAGUGUACCCGCGGCUAGACGGAAAGACCCCGUGAACCUUUACUACAGCUUGGCACUGAACAUUGACCCUACAUGUGUAGGAUAGGUGGGAGGCUUUGAAGCAGGUACGCCAGUAUCUGUGGAGCCGUCCUUGAAAUACCACCCUUGUAGUGUUGAUGUUCUAACGUCGACCCCUUAUCGGGGUUGCGGACAGUGCCUGGUGGGUAGUUUGACUGGGGCGGUCUCCUCCCAAAGAGUAACGGAGGAGCACGAAGGUGGGCUAAUCACGGUUGGACAUCGUGAGGUUAGUGCAAUGGCAUAAGCCCGCUUGACUGCGAGAAUGACAAUUCGAGCAGGUGCGAAAGCAGGUCAUAGUGAUCCGGUGGUUCUGAAUGGAAGGGCCAUCGCUCAACGGAUAAAAGGUACUCCGGGGAUAACAGGCUGAUACCGCCCAAGAGUUCAUAUCGACGGCGGUGUUUGGCACCUCGAUGUCGGCUCAUCACAUCCUGGGGCUGAAGUCGGUCCCAAGGGUAUGGCUGUUCGCCAUUUAAAGUGGUACGCGAGCUGGGUUUAGAACGUCGUGAGACAGUUCGGUCCCUAUCUGCCGUGGGCGUUGGAAGAUUGAAGGGGGCUGCUCCUAGUACGAGAGGACCGGAGUGGACGAACCUCUGGUGUUCGGGUUGUGUCGCCAGACGCAUUGCCCGGUAGCUAAGUUCGGAAUCGAUAACCGCUGAAAGCAUCUAAGCGGGAAGCGAGCCCUGAGAUGAGUCUUCCCUGAUACUUUAAGUAUCCUAAAGGGUUGUCGGAGACUACGACGUUGAUAGGUCAGGUGUGUAAGUGCUGUGAGGCAUUGAGCUAACUGAUACUAAUUGCCCGUGAGGCUUAACCAU